CAUAAUUCCAGCAAAUUGAGAGAUGAAUUGGGGCUAAAUCAUAUGCAUGAACAUAGACUAUUGAUUAUCUAAGCUUGGUGAUCUUAAGGAAACUCAAGUGAGGCUUCGGGAAGCCAAGCCGGAAGAGACGCUCGCCUCAAGGUAACUAAGCACUUGAGACCCCAUAUGAAGAUCGAGCCAUGUCAAACACUUCCUGAAAGCUCGUUAGCUUUCAUUGUUGUUUUAAGUGCAGUUUGUUUUUAAGAGGUAAAAUGUAUGCAGUAUGCAGACCACAUCUGCAGACACCUGUAGAAGAAGAUGUGGACCAAACCUCUCCAGUUUUCAAAAACAAGGAUGUUUGUUUUUAACGU